rnacentral:lncRNA from 1 species
AUGAAUGGAGUUGUGAACUUUUUUGGUCGGAUAUCAAUCCUUAUUGAUCAGAAUACUCAAGCCUUCCAUCUGUUUAUGUCAGCACUUCUUCAAGUACCGUCUAAACUCAAUUUACUCUUGCUCUUGCAUCUCCUUCCUUAGCCAUGCUUAGUGUUCACAGAUUAAUUUUCCUUUUUUUUUUUUCUUUUUUCUAGAUCAUCGACCGUACUGGCUUAUUAUAUGGUGAGCUUGCAAGGUUUGUGUUGCGGUUGCUGGGGAUCAGAAAAAAGCCAAGAAAAGACCAAAAACUGGGAUCUUCUGAGCUUUCUGGUAACUCUCAAGUGCCGGGACAAAGGUACAUUGAGGGCCCUAGAGAUGCUAGUGGUUCGUGGGAUAAUGUCUGGGGAGAUGGUAUCAGAGGAUCCAGCUGAAACAGGCUUGGGGUAUGUAAUAGAGCAUGGAAUUCAUAAAAGUGAUUUUUGAUGCAGCCAUGAGUAAAGGUUGUGAUGCAUGUUGAGAGGUAUUGGUUAUUGUUUCUAGUCUCAGGCAUGUUCGGAUUACAAUGGUUGUUCAAGUAAGUGAUUUCUACAUAUAAUCUGUAUGGGAGUAAAUUUUCCAACUUGCUGGGACAAAGAUCCAUAAUUCUGCUGUUCAUCAGUCAGUUUCUUGCUGAUAAAUUAUAUCAGUCAGCUGUCAGAUGUGCUCUGUGAUUCUAAACAGCCAAUAUCUGUUACUUCUUAAUUAGUACAUUCAGCAUUGCACAUGCUUCAAUUGCUUUUUGGUGGCUCCUGUUACGACCUUACAAAGUAAACCAUCGCAAAUCAAAUAGUCAUUUAAUUGCUCCCAGAGGUUUUGUUCUUAUAGAUCCCUGGUUUAUGUAUGCUGAACAAAGUUGACAUUCAUUAGAUUGGUAUUUUCUGUUGGGCUGUUGGUCUUACUUUCCCUUGUCAUGUGAUCCAUGAGUGGAAUUUUUGAUCGUGUGAUGCAGGAGCCAAGUUUUUCUUGGUGGAUUGAAGUGGCUUUCUCUGGUUUAGGUCUGUAGCUAAUUUGUUGCAAUAGCCUAGGCACUUCCAUUUUGUACCUCAAAUGUUGGUUUGUCUCUAAGUUCUGAAAGAGUUUGGAAAUGACUGCUUAAACUCGUUCGUCGAUAAAGUUAUCAUUUCUCCGGAAAACUACAAGCUGAUUUAAGAAUAUAACAGCACUGUCCGGUGUCAGCAAAGGUCCAAACCCUGUCCAAUUUGUUGCGAACACUUAAAAUAAUUCAAUUUGUUCUUAAUGUAUAAUAAUAAGACUCACAUUUAAACAGUCGUGAUAGAGAAACCAAUAAUUGCAUUUGACGUUGGUUUUGGGACUUGAAUAGGUAUCAACUGCUGAUAUGGCAGUCCAAUCUUUUUUACCAAGGCAUAGACCAAAUGGAUGAUAACUCCUGGGAUUUCCGUCAAGGGAGUACUAUCGAUGUGGUGAGAAAAGCUUUGGGCAGCCGGUCUCUUUAUAUGUCCUCAAACAUAGAAUUGUAGAAGAAGGAACAAAAGGUGGAAGCCAUUUUGAAAGAGGACUCAACUACUCAACAUACGGAUCAACUGAUGGGCUAAGUUGAUCUUAAGAUGACAAGAUUCAUUAUUAUCAUCCAUCCAAGCUUUUUUGAAAUGUAGGGUAGGUAAUAGAGCAGUGUUCUUAAGUUGGAGGUUCCACAAAUGAAUUUAGAAGAUUUACAACGGGCUAUCAGCUUGAUAUCAACUCUCUCAACUGGACAAGAAAAAUGUCUGACCAAGGCAAAUUUAAGCAAUGAAAAUCCUGCUUUGAAACCUAUGAUGUCAGCCCUUCAAAAUCAAUGUGAAAUUCUAACAAAGGCAAAUGUAAGCAAAGCAGAAGCCUUACAUAGAGCCCAUUUUGGUAAAGCCUGAAUGAUGUCAUCCCUCUAAAAUUAAUGUGAAAUUCUUGGACAAGGGAAAUGUAAGCAAAGCAAGCCUUCUAUAAAACCUAUAUGGUCAGUUGGCGCUUUGGGAGAUUUACUUCAUUGAUCUCAGUUUAAGCUCAUACAAGUGGGCAACUUUGGGAACUCUCCAAACAUGUAAACAAUAUGAAUGGUUAACAUAAUAACUUUAGAUAUAGGGACCUUGAUUUCUUUGAAAAGCACAGGUAAACCGAAGGAUCAGAUGAAAUGCAGUUCCAAUUCUAUAUAUUGGAAAGAUUAUGUUGCAGUAAUUUGUAACUCAGCAUUUGGAAACAAUAUAUUUUCUGAAUCAACUAACGGCACCUGGCCGCAAAUUAAUGAUGAUAUGAAUCUCAAGCAACCCUGUCUCAAAAGGAGUCCAUAGGCCUCAGACAGGCAGGUACCAUGACUGAGUUUGAUGAAUUCAAGUUCUAAAAGCCUCACGGUUUGGAUCCUCCAAUCAUGAAUCUAAUACUCAAGCACUAUAUUUUCUUGCUUAUGCUGUGAAGAAGCUUGGUGCAUUAAUAUGAGUCCCAUAAAAGCCAACAUUAUCCCUCUUUUUAUGUGAACCACUCUCUCCUUAUUGAACACUCCACUGCAUAGAAAUGUAAGAAGAAUUACGAGUGAAUUAAGUUAAACAAAUUAGCAAAUAUAUUUGUAGAUUGUAGUGAUGAUUGGAGAAAUCUGCUGGAAUGAUUUUAGAUUUGAUACCAUCUUGCCAUGUAAUCCAGACACCAUUGCAACUAAGUUUAUCCUUAGUAGUCCCAGCAAAGGAACAAACUAGCAUUGAACAUAAAAAGAGCAGUCUGAUCUCCUAUGCAAAAGCUUUUACCGUCUGUAAGUAUUUGUAUUUGUAAAAGAGUGGUUUGCCAUUAGUCAAUAAGUUGUAUCUUCCAGCAAAUCCAGAAUGCCACUCGAAAAGGCUUGAGCUGUUGCCCAGGUGUCAGUCAUGCAGACCUUUUUAUCCUAUCUAAGGUUGGAGAUUCAAGCUCUUAAUAAGGGUGUAAAGUUUUGAACUAAAGAACAUAUGCCGUCUCCAAUUACUUACAAAUGGUUAGAAAAAGGAUUUGACAAGAAGAAUGCAGCAUGACAAGUUGAAUUUUUCGCUUCCAUUCAUUGAACAGAUUGAACAUGUAAGACCAGUUCAAAAAAAGUGGACCAUAUACAUUUACAAAAAAAAAAAUGCCAUUGAGAACACAUAGGCAUGCCUGCAAUCUCAGUAAGCAUUUGUUGCUAGCAACAGGAACUCAUCUUUCCAAUAUUUCUUUCAAUUUAAUACAACAGUGAUUACACAGAGCAUGUUGACAUUCUCAUUUUUUAUCUUUACAAUGUGAUGCAAAGACUAGUAACAUGCUUGACAGACAAGCCUGAGAGAUUUACAUCUAUGAGCUGACAUAUUGUUUUUGGAGGAGGUUAGCACAAAACAUCAAGUCGAAUUGAACCUCAGGAGGGUCUCCAAUACAAUCAAAGACUGCAUCUGCUGUCACAAAGUCCUCCUCGGCAGUGUAACUACGAAAGAAACACGGUCAUACAUCUGACAAACAAAGGUUACAUUAUGUAUGCAUUCUAUUUUAGACUCACAUAUCUAUUUAGUUAUGAAAUGGAGGAGUAGGAUUUAUUUUUACCAAAUAUGUAAGCUAUGUAUGAUGUUUGAGUGUAUUAUUUAACAUUAUUUUCACUAUCUAGAACAUCUAAAAGAAGAACAUCUAAUGUUUUAGUAUCUAUCUGAUUAUAUUCAGAUUGUUAAAUGCUUAAGUUAAACAGCUUAAUUAUCUGCAACAGUUAAUCCCUGACAGACCGUCCAGUUGACUGCUAAAUUUCCAAAUCUGUUGAAGAUAAGACAGUUAUUCUGCACCACGUAGGCUUCAGCUCCAUCAUUUUAUAUCGCUUGACCUAAGACUAGAUUUCAUACUUGAGCUGUUUAUGAAUGACCUAGUAAAAAUUCUACUUCCUGUAAGAAAUAUUAUAGAAACUUAACCACAACUCUUAUAAGUGCAUCAUAUAGUUCAAAACUUCAGAUAGUUACUGUAAUCCAAGGAAAAAGAAAAAAGAAAGAAAGAGAGUUAAAAACUGCGGAUGUUUCAGAACACCUCUAAAGCCAAUUUCAAUCAAGCAUCAUUCAUGUAACAAUGUAGCACCACAUCCACAUUCUAGUGUUGUAAUGCAUACAUUGAUAAUAAUAUUCAUCUUAUUGCAUGAAUGAACAUUGUAGACUGAAUAAAAUGUUUCAAGCAUGGAUACAGCAUUAUAAUUGCCCUGUGGCUAACGUUCGGUACUAAAUGAUAAGCCCCAUGCACUGAUAGCUCAACAAAUAUACUCCUUCUGAAGACAAGAAAUUCCAUCCAGGUAUAUUAAAGAAUAUAUAUUUAUGGGUUCUCAUUCUUUUUAAAACCUGAAAUUUGUUAUCUUUAGACUAUAUAACAUGCUUUAGUUAUAUUAUUUGUAAGUUAUAAACUCCAGUUGAAAAUCAUAACUUCAAGAAACUAAUUUCAACAUUUAAUGCUCAAAAAUGACAUAUUGCUCAUCAUCUAUGAUAUGAAUCAAAAUGUUGCUGAGAAAAUAUGCUUACCCACUCUUUGUUACUAUGCACUUCAUGCCAGCAGCUUUUGCUGCUGCAAGACCUAUGGCACUGUCCUCUACCACAACACAACUGGAAAGCAUGGAAAACAAAGAUUAAAACAACAACUGCAUUUCACGUUUGUUGCUUUCAAACAUAUAAAAGAAAUAAUGAAAUUAGCCUGUGGAUAAUGUAAGAUUAGCAAUAGACUUGACUAGGACUAAAAUGGAAAUUUUGGAGUUCCACUGCAAUACAGGAGGCCAAAAAGAAAAGUUGAAAGUAUGACAAUUUGUACUAUACAUUUUACAGUACCUUCUUGAAAAUUCAUGAAGGGGAAGAAGAUUAACAUAUAUACUAUAUAUAUAUAUAUAUAGAUGUACAUAUACAUGUACACAUAUAUAUGUAUGUAGAUCUAUAUAUAUGUAUAUAUGAUGGAGGAUCAGAAAAUGAAAGUAGGCACGUUAUAGUAUUAUAGAUAAACAUAGGUGCUGCCCAUUCAGAAAGCCUCCUGACAGACCACUUACAAGCUUCUAGACAAAGCUUCAUUCCUCCAACCAGAAAGCACACCCUUUCCACACUAUAAUUAUGUAAAUGUGGAGGCAUUUGGAAAGGCCACUCACUUCUUUCACGAAGUAAUUCCUCCCUCCAUAGCCAAUUUCAAAGAGGUCUUUAAAAAGGUCUUGGAACUACAUUCCCCAGUGGAAGUUAUGGUCUCUUUAUUUGUGCUUUUAGGUUUUGUUAGCUAUUAGCUAUCGGAUGAACAAAAAUAGUCAUGUCAUCGUCUUAGAAUUACAUUUGUCAUCCUUAGUCAAUGUCACUUCUGCAAUAUACACUACUCAGGCACUCCAAAAUUGAUGAGUGUUUGGCCCUGUAUUUUCUAGUACUGGAUAUCUUUCUCUCAGUUUCUUCAUGACUCAGGUGCUUCGCUAACAUUCUUUUUCUGUAGUGUUGCUCACACCAUGCAAUCUCCAUCAGAGAUAAAUUAUUCUCCAAUGUGCAUGAAACUUCACCUCCCCUGAUAGGUUGGCAAGUAGAGGUAUAAAUUUUACAAGUAUUUGAUUGUAAACAUCAAAUGAUCAUGAUGCUGUUUCAGGAUGUUUGUGGAGACAUGAUUGAUCAGCCUAAGUGGGUGGUCUUGAGUUUGAGUAAUAAUAACUUUCAAGUAAUUCAGGACCUAUAUGAUCCAUUUCAUACCCGUCUGGUGCCACUGGUUUCUGCUCAAUGAAUCAGCCCACCAACAUUUGCCCAUUCUACUUUAAUUAAUAGAAAGGAAUCAUCUAACCUCUGAUAAUGAGAAGGAUCUCAGGAAACAAGAUGGUAAUUAGGAAAGUUGCCAUCUAGAAACUACAAUAAUAGAAAUUUAGUUGAAUAUGGUGCAGAAAGGAGGAUUUUAGUGUGCAUGCUACAAGAAAGACGACCAGCUAACAGAAAUGAGGACUGGAAUAACAAAUUAAAGCACAAUUAUGGGAUAACUUUGAUCGUUUAGAAAAAUGACAUUUAAAAAUCAGAAAAAGGAAAAGGAUUGUACGAAUGAAAAAUAAGCAUCAUAAUGAAUGGUGAUUAAGAUUUUGUACAGGAUCAGGAACCCAAAAAGAACCAAUUUAACCCUGUGAGGAUGGUUAACCAAGCUAUCAUAGUCAAGCAACUGAGAAUUAUUAAGAAAAGAAAAAAGAUUCUACGCAAGGGCUUCAGCAUGCUUAGAGAAAGCAUGACAGAACCAAUUUAUGUUACUCUAUGCAUGUUAAGUAAAAUAAACAUGAUAGAUGAACUAAUUAAAUCUUUACACAGCAACAAGGGCAAGCGUGAGGGAGCAAUGAGUAGGAUGAGUACUCACAAAGAGAUAGAAUAAUACUUUUCAAUAUAUAGCAUAAUUGCAGUCAUACUAAAAUGGAGAAUAUACUUUACAGUGGAAUUAUAAUUUCCAAAAAAUAUCUAAAACUUUAAUGCCUUUUAUGAACUUGUGAAGCUUAUAUAGAGUGCAUCUAGUCUCCAUGUAAUGUUAAGCAAUACCUGGAUGGCUCAACACCAAGAGUAUUGGCUGCUAGAAGAUAGAUGGCCUGCACAAAGAGAGAGAACGAUCAGCAUCAUAAACUUUUAUUCAGAAAGAUACAAAGUCAUGCAAAAAGAAAUUUGGGUAAAUAACUGACAAUAAGAAACUAUCAGCAAGCACCCAACAAAUACAUGGAAAAUACAUCUGAGAAGCUACUAGUUUUACCCUCUUCCCUGUUACUUAAGUAGCUGGAACAUGAUUUUAUUCAUAUUAUGUAAAACAAAUACCCAAAGAUCCUUCCUGAGUUACACAGUAGAAAGGACAUUGCAUUGGAUGAAAUCAAAUUGUAACUUUUUUGUUUUGGCAACUCUAUGAUACAUCAACUAUUCCAUGUGCAGUUGUUCAAUAUGGCAUUCACUAUGUUAGGUUCUCAAUGUGUAGAAUUGUGGAUGAAUAACAGUUGGCAUAGAACUGAGAAUAAAGUAGUAUCAUUGACCUUCAUUUGCACCCUAAUUUAUAAGCCAAAACAUCUAAGAAGGAAAAUUCAUUAAAGUGAUAAAUGACUUUAGAAUCUAUUUUGGAUGUCAUAUGAUCCUCGAGUCCAGAAAACUCUGUUGUAGGUCACUAAAUAAACUGCUAUCAUGGAGGAAACCUCAUAUUACGCUGGAUAUCAGAAUUAAAAAAGAAAUGUUUAAUAAGUUCAUAGAUUUUGAGCGGCUGUAGGAGCUAAAUGAAAGAAAAGACUUCAAUAAUAGAUAAAUAAACAUUCAAUUAGAAUCCAAAUCCACUGAAUUGCCAUUUUCACAUUGUGAUCUUUAUUCCAUAAGACAAGUUAAUAGAACCAAAAAAUUAAGUUUAGUUAACCUUGAAAGCAGGGGAAAAAGAGGAUAAAGAUUUGGAUUUUGGAAUAAAUAAAACAAUAUUCAGGAAACCCAGAUAGAGGAAAAUAGUUACCGGAUCAGGCUUUUUACGAGGAACUACAUCUCCUGCAAAUAUUGUUAUCUUCUCUGCUCGUUCAGGGCCUAAAAGGAAAGAAACUAUAGCUGCAACCUGCAUCCGACAUAUAAUGGUCAAAAUGUUUAAAACUUCCAGUGGUUAAAAUUUUUAAAAUUCAACAGGAUAUUGUGAAAAAAAAAUUGUCCUAAGAAUUUUUUUCCCAAGACUAUAUGGAUUUGGGUAGAAAAUGGAAUGCCAAUAUCUGACUAUUCAUGCAACAGGUUUUAGUAUAGACAAGGGAACAUUAUAUAUGAAGUUACAAUAACAGAUUCUAAAGAGUAAAGAUACUAAUACAGAAGUGGCUACCAAAGAACAUCAAUAGCAUCCCCCAAACUCGACAAUUCUGUGGAGCAUCCUUGGUAAAUAAGGUUCAAGCCUCAUUGAUUUAUUCUAGUUUGACUGUUACAAAUUAGAGAACCUUCUGAAUCAAUUCUUUUUGUAUUCUCUCUUAUGAACUCUUAGUACAUGAUAUUAGCAAUUUAGGAAGCUUAGAUACAAGAAAUAGCAGCCAAAUUGUUCCUCAGAGACCAAAGCCUAUUAACAGAAAAAAUGAACAAAAUAGAGACACUUCAGCUAUUACAAAAGAAGAGAAGGAGGAGGAGCAAAGUACCAGUUUAAUAUGUGGACCACUGAGUUUCCCUCACUCUGAAGUGGCAAACAAAGUAAAGAUAGCACCAUUAUUGCUUACCUAACUUACUUUACCUAGUUUGGCAAGUGAGUCAGCUGAGUAAUUUGUUUUGCAAAACUAGAACUAGAAGGGAUUGAUUUGACAAGGGUUACCACUAGGAUCUGCAGAAUUGGACCCAAUGGACAUCGUAUCCACAUUCAUACACAUAUAGAUAAGGCGUGGAUCCAUAUACAGAUUCAAAAACCAUAUAAAAUAUUCAAGGUAUGGAACUGAUUUUUGUGAAACCAACCUGGACUGAAAUUUCAGUCUGGACCCAAUAGUUCACACAGUGUUUAAUGUACAAUUUUACUCUUACUCCUUCAUGUUUCUUAUAAGAUUAUCCAUGAUACUUUGAAACUGUCACCAGUGAAUUGUUUUGACAACAUACAGGAAAGUGAGCUUACCAAAUAACAGUACACACUUGAAAGUUGAAACAAUCAGUGCCCAAAUGCAAACCUGAUUAUCUUUCUCUUUCAGUGUCCAGUGCCAACUAAGCAUGCUUUCUUAUGCACGAACUAGAUCCCUCCAAAUCAUUUUCAAAACUCUUCAUAAGAAUGUUUCACCCUAACUUAAUAUGCCAUUCUUCCGUUGUGUUACACAUCUCCUUAUGAGUUUAGGCUGUGUUGCUUUACUGGGUUAUCAAACAUGUUCUUACGUCAUGUUGCUAAGUGAGACACAAAUCGAAAGUGCUUUGCUUGAGAUAAAUGCAUGUUUAGGAAGCCAGCAUGUCAUCUACUAAUAGGGUGAAAUUCAAGUCAGCUAGAAAUUGGAAGCAAGUAGGAUGUAUGGCUUUGAGAUUUUUGCAUGACAAAAUUAUGGCAGAAAGCUGUUACUAGGUUAGGAAAUGGUGAUGCAUCUGUUGUGCAAAAAUCACAGAGCCAUUAAUGGUAAAGUCCUGUUCAAGUAGAAACUUGUUCCCAUUGCAUAGCAAACUUAAAACUGCACCCAUUCCACAGCUAUAGGAUUUAUUUUUAAAAAAAAUGGUAGAAAUGAUUGAAUUUAGAACAUCUCCCUAGUGCACACAAGAAAACAGAGCCAACUACUGUAUCCAAGCUCCAUUUAUCACAUCAUUCAGUGAACAGGAGUUGGGAAUAACGUGACUGUUUGGGCAUCCAAAGCUCUCUUGGGGACAAUAUAUUACAUCAAUCUAACUUGUGCAUAUUUUCUCGGAGGAUUGGCAUGAGGGGGGUCCUUGAAUUGACAUCAGGGUCUAAAGACAUGUACAACAUGAACAAAAUUAAGAAUCUUAGUAUAGGAAGAAUGCAGACCACAGGUGGACCACGAGUGACCAAUUUAUUGAGUCAUUACCUUCUUCAAAUCCCGUCGCUCGAAAUCCCUUAUCUUGUUUAGCUGUCCUUUCUCCUUAAUAUCAUUAGUUUGUCAGGUCAUGAUCCAAGGGAUGUUUAGCCCAAAAUCUAGCAGUAACAGCUCCUUCACCACCGUUGCCUUAAAGGAGAACUAGCGUGGAAUUGGUCAGUUGUCGACGCUACUUCAGGAUUCAAGCCUUAUCACCAUGGUUGUUUCAAGGUUCAGGUAAAGAAAGAAGAGAAAGGGAAAAGGGAAGAAGAAAAAGAAGGACAAGGGUAAAGAAAGGGGUUAUCCUAAGGCUAAGAGAUUUACAAUUCCUCAUAACAUCUGUGACAUUGACAAUGACAAGCCUAAUAGAUGACUUGCUCUCAGCAUCUGAAUAGCUAUGGUCACAAAGAUGAGAACCUCAAGACAGAACAGAGGGUUCUUGAUGGGGUGAAUUUUUGGGCUGAGCUGUUUGCAAGCAUCAAGAGAAUAUAAAACACAUUCUAGUAUGGCGCC